UAAGGAAUAUUGGUCAAUGGACGAAAGUCUGAACCAGCCAUGCCGCGUGAAGGAUGAAGGUCCUCUGGAUUGUAAACUUCUUUUAUUUGGGACGAAAAAAGGGUUUUCUAACUCACUUGACGGUACCAGAUGAAUAAGCACCGGCUAACUCCGUGCCAGCAGCCGCGGUAAUACGGAGGGUGCAAGCGUUAUCCGGAUUCACUGGGUUUAAAGGGUGCGUAGGCGGGUAGGUAAGUCAGCGGUGAAAUCCCCGAGCUUAACUUGGGAACUGCCGUUGAUACUAUUUAUCUUGAAUGUUGUGGAGGUUAGCGGAAUAUGUCAUGUAGCGGUGAAAUGCUUAGAUAUGACAUAGAACACCCAUUGCGAAGGCAGCUAACUACGCAAAUAUUGACGCUGAGGCACGAAAGCGUGGGGAUCAAACA
rnacentral:rRNA from 1 species